rnacentral:rRNA from 1 species
AGCGCGAUGAGGGAAUCCCAAGUGCUUGCUCGUAAGAGUAAGCUGUUUUUAUGUCUAAAAAGCAUAGAGAGUAAGGGCUGGGUAAGACGGGUGCCAGCCGCCGCGGUAAUACCUGCAGCUCAAGUGGUGAUCAUUAUUAUUGGGCCUAAAACGUCCGUAGCCGGUUUGGUAAAUGCUUGGGUAAAUCGUGUAGCUUAACUAUACGAAUUCCGGGUAGACUGCCAAACUUGGGACCGGGAGAGGCUAGAGGUACUCCUGGGGUAGAGGUGAAAUUCUGUAAUCCUAGGGGGACCACCAGUGGCGAAGACGUCUAGCUAGAACGGGUCUGACGGUCAGGGACGAAGCCCUGGGGCGCGAACCGGAUUAGAUACCCGGGUAGUCCAGGGUGUAAACGCUGCUUGCUUGAUGUUAGUUGGGCUCCGAGCCCAAUUAGUGUCGGAGAGAAGUUGUUAAGCAAGCUGCCUG